ensembl:lncRNA BHLHE40-AS1 BHLHE40 antisense RNA 1
ACUUACUGUAAGUUUGAGAUGUUCGGGUAGGAGAUCCUUCAGCUGGGCGAUGCACUCGUUAAUCCGGUCACGUCUCUUUUUCUCGAUGAGCCGGUGCGGCAAUUUGUAGGUCUCCUGCAAGACGCACGGGGAGGCGGUGGGCGCUUGGGGAAGGAGAUGAGAAGCCUAUCCUCCCAGCCCCGCAGCAACAGUCCGGCAGAGGAGCAGAGUAGCAGAGUAGCACCCAGAACCAUCGUCUGCCCUUUCUUUUCCAAGUCACUCAGAAGAGGCACCGAGCCCACACCCUGCAUCCCCUCGCCAACCUCAAAGCGAGAAAACUUUUCUUGGAAACUCAGCGCGCGCGAGGGGCUGAGCGCAGGGUCCCUAGGGGUGCACUUGCUUACCUUGCUGUCCUCGCUCCGCUUUAUUCCCCGUCUUGACUUGUACACUUGGUACAUGUGGGCAGGGUACAUCCUGCAGGAAGAGAGACCAGGAAGGGUCGUGACUGCUUGCGCACGGCUGCAGGCGUUCUGCCGGGCAAGAACCUCCCGGUGCGCCCGGAGCUGCUCCAAGUUGAGAGUGGCGCAUAACAUGGGGCUGCAGUUGAGGCUUGAAGGGCCAAGGAGUGCCAACUUACCCUGAUUUACCACUUACCGCUGCUUUUCAGCAGUUUGGCUGUGAUUUGUUUAGGUGCUGCUUUUUCCUUAUUUAUUCUCCUUGUGGGUGCGUUAAGGUUCUUGGUUCUCCUCCCACCCCCAACUCUCCCCUGACACACAACGUGGAUGUGGAACUUCUUGAUUCUAUGAGUUGAGAUCUUCAAUCAAUUUUGGGUUGCAGAAAAGGAAGAAGAAUCAGCAGAGAGCAUUUGUGGCCAGCAAAGCUUAAAAUAUUUCCUAACCGAUCCUUUGCAAAAAAAGUUCACCCACUCCUGUAGUCAGCAGCUCCCCUACUGUGCGCAGUCAGUGUGCCAUCUCAGACUAGCAAAGAUUUGUGCUUGGAUCAUCUACACUUCCCUGAAUGUUGAAGAAGAUAUGCUAUCCAUGCAAUCCUUGUCGACUGCUUGAUUAAAAAGUGGAUAAACUGUCUUCAGGCCCUUGGAGUAUGGUGUCUGUGUGAAGAAGGGAAUGAGGCAGAAGUAGCAGUCAGUGGUGGCUGAAGUAGGAGAAAGUGCUUGCUAAUGAAAUCUUGAUUUUUCUGUGGCUUUUCUGUGCAAUUGGGUGGCUAAGUAGGAAAGCCAUUGGAGCUUCACUGUAUCAAUUCUGCCUUUCUUGUUUUUUGGAACUCCAAUUCACCAAGGCUCCCUGCCACCCUAUCCAUCUAUAACUUUUCAUCACUUUUUCCUCAAAGUAAGAAGUGUGUCCCAGAAAAUGUGCCUUUGUGACUCAGCAACAUUUCAAAUCCAUCUGAGCCUUCCCAGCGUUCCAAAAGAAAUACUGAUUUGAAUUCAGCUGCUUAAAAAACCAGUCUCUAAGCAGACAGCUUGAAACUUCCUUACAGCAAUAGUUUAGGCUUUGGAGGGGAAAUUGGUUUGUUUUUAAUUGUUUUAAUUUUUCAUUCAAUUCAUUUGCCGCCUGAUUAUAUAUGAUCUUUUGAGCCCAAUACUCUGCUAAAUUAACCUUGACUUUCUUUCUCUCUUUCUCUCUCUCUCCUUCUCUCUUUCUUCCUUUCUUUCUUUCUUUUUGACAGAGCCUUGCUCUGUCGCCCAGGCUGGAAUGCAGUGGCACAAUCUCAGCUCACUGUAAACUCCGCCUCCAAAGUUCAAGCAAUUCUCCUGCCUCAGCCUCCUGUGUAGCUGGGAUUACACACGCCAGCCACCAUGCCUGGCUAAUUUUUGUAUUUUUAGUAAAGAUGGAGUUUCACCCUCUUGGCCAAGCUGGUCUCGAACUCCUGACCUCAACCUUGGCCUCUCAAAGUGCUGGGAUUACAAGCAUGAGCCACCAUGCCUGGCCUUACCUUGAUUUUUUUUUUUUGAGACAGAGUCUCACUCUGUUGCUCAGGCUGGAGUGUAGUGGCUCGAUCUUGGCUCACUGCAACCUCCAUCUCCCGGGUUCAAGAGAUUCUCCUGCCUCAGCCUCCCAAGUAGCUGGGACUACAGGUGUGGGCCACCACGCCUAGCUAAUUUUUUAUAUGUUUACUAGAGACAGGGUUUCACCAUGUUGGGCAGGCUGGUCUUGAACUCCUGACCUCAGGUGAUUCACCUGCCUCGGCCUCCCAAAAUGCUGGGAUUACAGGUGUGAGCCACCACACCCGGCCCCUACCUUUGAUUUUUAAGUCAAGAGGGAACAAGUCGAAAUUUCUAUUCAGGUAAACUGUAUACCUUUGGACACUGAAUCACUUUUAGAACCCCAGUAAAAAUCAUGUAUGAAUGACCCACAAUUUCACUCCAACAGGAAGGUGUGUAUAUGUGCACAAAAACAUUAGAUUGUUCACACCGGUGCUAUUCAUAAUAGUCAAAAACUGGAAACAACUCAAACAUCCAUCAACUGUAGAAUGGAUAAAUAAAUCAUGAUAUAUUCAUACCAUGGAACAUAACAGUGACAAUAAAUGAACCACUGCUACACACAACAGAUAUGAAUUUCACAAACAGAAUGCUGAGCAACAGAAGCCAAACACAGAAGGAUACACAUUUAUAAAUCCAUUUGUAUGAAGUUCAUAAACAGACAAAAUUAGUCAGUGGAGAUUAUUCUCAUAGAAGUCUGAAGGGUAGUUGUCUUUAG